UGCACAGAUUGUGGUCGCUGUCCUCCAUGC
rnacentral:piRNA from 1 species